rnacentral:rRNA from 1 species
AGCGAACGCUGGCGGCAGGCCUAACACAUGCAAGUCGAACGAACUCUUCGGAGUUAGUGGCGGACGGGUGAGUAACACGUGGGAACGUGCCUUUAGGUUCGGAAUAACUCAGGGAAACUUGUGCUAAUACCGAAUGUGCCCUUCGGGGGAAAGAUUUAUCGCCUUUAGAGCGGCCCGCGUCUGAUUAGCUAGUUGGUGAGGUAAGGGCUCACCAAGGCGACGAUCAGUAGCUGGUCUGAGAGGAUGAUCAGCCACAUUGGGACUGAGACACGGCCCAAACUCCUACGGGAGGCAGCAGUGGGGAAUCUUGCGCAAUGGGCGAAAGCCUGACGCAGCCAUGCCGCGUGAAUGAUGAAGGUCUUAGGAUUGUAAAAUUCUUUCACCGGGGACGAUAAUGACGGUACCCGGAGAAGAAGCCCCGGCUAACUUCGUG